rnacentral:rRNA from 1 species
GAUGAACGCUGGCGGCGUGCUUAACACAUGCAAGUCGAACGGAAAGGCUCCUGCUUGCAGGGGUACUCGAGUGGCGAACGGGUGAGUAACACGUGGGUGAUCUGCCCUGCACCUCGGGAUAAGCCUGGGAAACUGGGUCUAAUACCGGAUAGGACGAUGGUUUGGAUGCCAUUGUGGAAAGUUUUUUCGGUGUGGGAUGAGCUCGCGGCCUAUCAGCUUGUUGGUGGGGUAAUGGCCUACCAAGGCGUCGACGGGUAGCCGGCCUGAGAGGGUGUACGGCCACAUUGGGACUGAGAUACGGCCCAGACUCCUACGGGAGGCAGCAGUGGGGAAUAUUGCACAAUGGGCGCAAGCCUGAUGCAGCGACGCCGCGUGGGGGAUGACGGCCUUCGGGUUGUAAACUCCUUUCGCUAGGGACGAAGCGCAAGUGACGGUACCUGGAGAAGAAGCACCGGCUAACUACGUG